ensembl:processed_transcript
CGCCAUUUUCAAACUUCAGAGCCUCACUGACUGGAACUCUUCUAACAGCGACAUUAUUCCUCAUUAUUACUUUUUUCUCAUUCUUUCUUCGACACCUAUUAUCACUUCAACGAUUAUUAUUUUUUUACAUAUAUUGGCAGCUGGAAGAGGAUUUUCAUUAAAAGGUGCAGGAGAGACUACACUGGAAGAGGGGAGUCAGGCGGGUUGGGAAUCCUUUCCCCUGUUGCCUAACAUGCUGGAGAACGGGGAUCGAGGGUAAGUCAGAUCUUUCCUGUGUCCGUUUCUGAGCCUAACCAAAACGGCCUCUGGCUUGAAUGGGUGAGCAGAGUUAGGCCAGGGUGUGUAUGUGUCUACAUAAGCGUGCGAGCUUCUCUUUUAGGUCUCUCUCUCCAACCCAUUUGCUGUCUAUCUUUUUCUCCUUUUCUCUCUCUCCCUCUCUUUUGCGAACACCCCUCACCCCCCUUUUUCUCCCUCUCUCGAUGAACAACGGGCAGAAGUAGACAGAAGCAAAUGCCUUCUGCAACUGUGCUGACGUGAUCAUUUGACUUAGACCUUAAAUAGGCUGCCCUUUAUGAGAUCUAACUGUGUUUGUCAGGGCU